GGCUUUGCCUACCAUCUCUUACCCAUGUCUUUUGAGUACCUUCGUUUCCUCGGCGGGUUCGCCCGCCGAUUGGACAAUUUAAACCAUUUGCAGUUGCAAUCAGCGUCUGAAAAAACAUAAUAGUUACAACUUUCAACAACGGAUCUCUUGGUUCUGGCAUCGAUGAAGAACGCAGCGAAAUGCGAUAAGUAGUGUGAAUUGCAGAAUUCAGUGAAUCAUCGAAUCUUUGAACGCACAUUGCGCCCCUUGGUAUUCCAUGGGGCAUGCCUGUUCGAGCGUCAUUUGUACCUUCAAGCUCUGCUUGGUGUUGGGUGUUUGUCUCGCCUCUGCGUGUAGACUCGCCUCAAAACAAUUGGCAGCCGGCGUAUUGAUUUCGGAGCGCAGUACAUCUCGCGCUUUGCACUCAUAACGACGACGUCCAAAAGUACAUUUUUACACUCUUGACCUCGGAUCAGGUAGGGAUACCCGCUGAACGUAAGCAUAUCAAUAAGCGGAGGAA
rnacentral:rRNA from 1 species